UAAGGGUUCAAGGCCUCCCUAAAAGGAUGGCGGUUUCAUUUUGCUGAACUUCUGGGUGAGAGCAAUUAUAUCCCCAUCAUUAACAUUCGGUUCCGGCUGUACCGGAAGAGGAGGUGGGGGCUGUUGGUUCUGUUAUUGUUCUAGUCUUACGGUUAGUAGUUCCACCAUUCUUUCCAACCUCGCCAUUC
rnacentral:sRNA from 1 species